rnacentral:misc_RNA from 1 species
CCACAACGGGGGGUUGAUGGCA